GUCCACGCCGUAAACGUUGGGAACUAGGUGUGGGCCUCAUUCCACGAGGUCUGUGCCGCAGCUAACGCAUUAAGUUCCCCGCCUGGGGAGUACGGCCGCAAGGCUAAACUCAAAGGAAUUGACGGGGGCCCGCACAAGCGGCGGAGCAUGUGGAUUAAUUCGAUGCAACGAGAAGAACCUUACCCAAGGCUUGACAUACACCGGAAACACCCAGAGAUGGGUGCCCCGCCAAGGUCGGUGUACAGGUGGUGCAUGGUUGUCGU
rnacentral:rRNA from 1 species